GAUGAAGAACGUAGCGAAAUGCGAUAAGUAAUGUGAAUUGCAGAAUUCAGUGAAUCAUCGAAUCUUUGAACGCACAUUGCGCCCGCUAGUAUUCUGGCGGGCAUGCCUGUCCGAGCGUCAUUUCAACCCUCAAGCCCCCGGGCUUGGUGUUGGGGAUCGGCGAGCCUCCGCGCCCGCCGUCCCCUAAAUCUAGUGGCGGUCUCGCUGUAGCUUCCUCUGCGUAGUAGCACACCUCGCACUGGGAAACAGCGCGGCCACGCCGUUAAACCCCCAACUUCUGAAUGUUGACCUCGGAUCAGGUAGGAAUACCCGCUGAACUUAAGCAUAUCAAUAAGCGGAGGA
rnacentral:misc_RNA from 1 species